UACGAAAGGUGCAAGCGUUACUCGGAAUCACUGGGCGUAAAGCGCACGUAGUCGGCUUUGCAAGUCGGGUGUGAAAUCCCCGGGCUCAACCUGGGAACUGCAUCCGAGACUGCAUUGCUAGAGUAUGGGAGAGGGAAGCGGAAUUUCUGGUGUAGCAGUGAAAUGCGUAGAUAUCAGAAGGAACAUCAGUGGCGAAGGCGGCUUCCUGGACCAAUACUGACGAUCAGGUGCGAAAGCGUGGGGAGCAAACAGG
rnacentral:rRNA from 1 species